AAAGUGUUUACUGUGACUGUUGACUUUAAAGAAUCAGGAUUUCAUAGACAUCAUUGACAACUGAUAUCAGAGAUGGACACUGCAGCAUUUAUUGCAUAUUCACAACUGUAAAACCUUGGUUAAAUGUCAGCAUGUACAGUAAUUGCUUAUUAUCCACCCAUCAAGAGCUGCAGGUCCCCUGAAUCCAUUAAAUAAACAAUCACAGAAAAAACAUUAAUAUCUCAGGUUAAAAAUGAUUGCAUACAUACAUUUUGGCACUUGAAUUCAAGUUAAAACACUUGUUUGAUUUGGCAUGCAAACACGUUUGAGGUCUCUCCAGCAUUUGUU